GGAUGCGAUCAUACCAGCACUAAAGCACCGGAUCCCAUCAGAACUCCGAAGUUAAGCGUGCUUGGGCGAGAGUAGUACUAGGAUGGGUGACCACCUGGGAAGUCCUCGUGUUGCAUUCC
rnacentral:rRNA from 2 species